rnacentral:tRNA from 1 species
GGUCACGUAGUGUAGCGGUAAGCACUCAAGACUCUGAAUCCUGCGAAUGGAGUUCAAGUCUCUCCGUGACCU